rnacentral:rRNA from 1 species
ACCGGUGGCGAAGGCGGAUCUCUGGGCCAUUACUGACGCUGAGGAGCGAAAGCGUGGGGAGCGAACAGGAUUAGAUACCCUGGUAGUCCACGCCGUAAACGUUGGGAACUAGGUGUUGGCGACAUUCCACGUCGUCGGUGCCGCAGCUAACGCAUUAAGUUCGCCCGCCUGGGGAGUACGGCCGCAAGGCUAAAACUCAAAGGAAUUGACGGGGGCCCGCACAAGCGGCGGAGCAUGUGGCUUAAUUCGACGCAACGCGAAGAACCUUACCAAGGCUUGACAUAUACCGGAAAGCAUUAGAGAUAGUGCCCCCCUUGUGGUCGGUAUACAGGUGGUGCAUGGCUGUCGUCAGCUCGUGUCGUGAGA